UUUGUCAGAGGGUGGGGAACUUGUGGAACUCAUUGGCCACAGAGGGCCGUGGCGGCCAAGUCAGUGGAUAUUUUGAAGGCAGAGAUAGACAAAUUCUUGUUUAGAACGGGUGUCAAGGGUUAUGGGGAGAAGGCAGGAAAAUGGGAUUAGGAGG